rnacentral:rRNA from 1 species
UAGGGAAUCUUCGGCAAUGGACGAAAGUCUGACCGAGCAACGCCGCGUGAGUGAAGAAGGUUUUCGGAUCGUAAAACUCUGUUGUUAGAGAAGAACAAGGACGUUAGUAACUGAACGUCCCCUGACGGUAUCUAACCAGAAAGCCACGGCUAACUACGUGCCAGCAGCCGCGGUAAUACGUAGGUGGCAAGCGUUGUCCGGAUUUAUUGGGCGUAAAGCGAGCGCAGGCGGUUUCUUAAGUCUGAUGUGAAAGCCCCCGGCUCAACCGGGGAGGGUCAUUGGAAACGGGGAGGCUUGAGUGCAGAAGAGGAGAGUGGAAUUCCAUGUGUAGCGGUGAAAUGCGUAGAUAUAUGGAGGAACACCAGUGGCGAAGGCGGCUCUCUGGUCUGUAACUGACGCUGAGGCUCGAAAGCGUGGGGAGCAAACAGG